UCCCUCCGAAGUUUCCCU
rnacentral:snRNA from 1 species